rnacentral:rRNA from 1 species
GGAUUAGUGCGCCGGUCGUGCCUUCGGUAUGUACUGGUGUUACUGGUUCCUACCUUCUGACGAACCGUCAUGUCAUUAAUUUGGUGUGGCGGGGAAUCAGGACUGUUACUUUGAAAAAAUUAGAGUGUUUAAAGCAGGCGAAACAGCUUGAAUACAUUAGCAUGGAAUAAUAAAACAGGA